UGAUCGGAUGACCGUGUGCCUGUUGAAGAAUGAGCCGGCGACUUAUAGGCACUGGCGGGUUAAACCGGAAAUGGUGGAGCCAUAGCGAAAGCGAGUCUGAACAGGGCGUUUGUCAGUGUUUAUAGACCCGAACCCGGGUGAUCUAACCAUGGCCAGGAUGAAGCUUGGGUGAUACCAAGUGGAGGUCCGAACCGACUGAUGUUGAAAAAUCAGCGGAUGAGCUGUGGUUAGGGGUGAAAUGCCAAUCGAACCCGGAGCUAGCUGGUUCUCCCCGAAAUACGUUGAGGCGUAGCGUCUCGUGCUCCAGCAGGGGGGUAAAGCCACCAUUUCGGUGCGGGCUGCGAGAGCGGUACCAAAUCGAGAUGAACUCUGAAUACCCUGUGUGUAGCGAGGCAGUCAGACUGUGGGGGAUAAGCUCCAUGGUCGAGAGGGAAACAGCCCAGACCGCCAGCUAAGGUCCCCAAAUCAACGCUAAGUGAUAAAGGAGGUGGGAUUGCCCAGACAACCAGGAGGUUUGCCUAGAAGCAGCCAUCCUCAAAGGAGUGCGUAAUAGCUCACUGGUCGAGCGAUCCUGCGCCGAAAAUGAACGGGGCUAAGCGUUGUACCGAAGCUGCGGAUUUAUGGUAGGGGAGCGUUCCAUGUGGGGUGAAGCGUUAGCGUGAGCGGGCGUGGACUGCAUGGAAGUGAGAAUGUCGGCUUGAGUAGCGAAAACAUGGGUGAGAAUCCCAUGCACCGAAACCCUAAGGGUUCCUCCGGCAGGCUCGUCCGCGGAGGGUUAGUCUGGACCUAAGGCGAGGCCGAAAGGCGUAGUCGAUGGAUAACAGGUCAACAUUCCUGUACCGGUUAUGUUUUGGGAAGAGGGACGGAGAAGGCUAGCCAAGCCAGAUGUUGGUUACUGGUUCAAGCGUUCGAGGCGUUGAGGAUCGGCGAAAACGAUCCGAGCUGAGGCGUGAGUACGAGCUGCUACGGCAGCGAAGUUGGUGACGUCAUGCUUCCAAGAAAAGCUCUAUACCCGUUAAGGCAUAACUGCCAGUACCCGAAACCGACACAGGUGGGGUGGUAGAGAAUACCGAGGUGCGCGAGGUAACUCUCUCUAAGGAACUCGGCAAAAUGGCCCCGUAACUUCGGGAGAAGGGGUGCCAGCGCGAGCUGGUCGCAGUGAAGAGUCCCAGGCGACUGUUUACCAAAAACACAGGUCUCCGCUAAGUCGCAAGACGAUGUAUGGGGGCUGACGCCUGCCCAGUGCCGGAAGGUUAAGGAAGCCGGUCAGCGUAAGCGAAGCUGGCGACUGAAGCCCCGGUGAACGGCGGCCGUAACUAUAACGGUCCUAAGGUAGCGAAAUUCCUUGUCGGGUAAGUUCCGACCCGCACGAAAGGCGUAACGAUCUGGGAGCUGUCUCGGAGAGAGGCUCGGCGAAAUAGAAUUGUCUGUGAAGAUGCGGACUACAUACACCCGGACAGAAAGACCCUAUGAAGCUUUACUGUAGCUUGGUAUUGUGCCCGGGCUCUGAAUGCGCAGGAUAGGUGGGAGACGUUGAUCUAGUGCUUGUGGGUGCUAGGGAGUCAAUGGUGAGAUACCACUCUUUCAGAGCUAGGGUUCUAACGUUCACCCGUUAUCCGGGGAGCGGACAGUAUCAGGUGGGCAGUUUGACUGGGGCGGUCGCCUCCUAAAAGGUAACGGAGGCGCGCAAAGGUUUGCUCAGGCUGGUUGGAAAUCAGCCGACGAGUGCAAAAGCAGAAGCAAGCUUGACUGUGAGACCUACAAGUCGAACAGGGACGAAAGUCGGCUUUAGUGAUCCGACGGUUCUGAGUGGAAGGGCCGUCGCUCAACGGAUAAAAGUUACUCUAGGGAUAACAGGCUGAUCUCCCCCAAGAGUUCACAUCGACGGGGAGGUUUGGCACCUCGAUGUCGGCUCAUCGCAACCUGGGGCUGAAGUCGGUCCCAAGGGUUGGGCUGUUCGCCCAUUAAAGCGGUACGCGAGCUGGGUUCAGAACGUCGUGAGACAGUUCGGUCCAUAUCCGGUGUAUGCGUAGGAACAUUGAGAGGAUUUCUCCCUAGUACGAGAGGACCGGGAGGAACGCACCUCUGGUGUACCAGUUAUCGUGCCAACGGUAAACGCUGGGUAGCCAUGUGCGGAGUGGAUAACCGCUGAAAGCAUCUAAGUGGGAAGCCCACCUCAAGAUGAGUGUUCCCAUGGGGUAACCCAGUAAGGUCACGGGAAGAACACCCGUUGAUAGGCUCUACGUGGAAGUCCAGUAAUGGAUGCAGCGGAG
rnacentral:rRNA from 1 species